rnacentral:rRNA from 1 species
UACAGAGGGUGCAAGCGUUAUUCGGAAUUAUUGGGCAUAAAGCGCAUGUAGGUGGUUUGAUAAGUUUGAUGUGAAAGCCCCGGACUCAAUUCGGGAAGUGCAUUGAAUACUGUCAGGCUAGAGUAUGGGAGAGGUGAGCGGAAUUCCAGGUGUAGAGGUGAAAUUCGUAGAUAUCUGGAGGAACAACAGAGGCGAAGGCGGCUCACUGGACCAUUACUGACACUGAGAUGCGAAAGCGUGGGGAGCAAACAGG